ensembl:snoRNA LOC120099063 Z6 small nucleolar RNA
UGCUGGUCGUGAAGUUGCCUCAAUCCGAGCACUGGGCCUUGCCUGGGGUAAGCCAGGCGUCUUAUCUGUCUGUCCCAUUCACUGCCUGAAUACAGCA